rnacentral:rRNA from 1 species
AGUAAAUAGAUACCCAGGUAGUCCUGGCCCUAAACGAUGUCCACUAGAUCGUAGAACUUUUGACGGUUUUAUGGUCGAAAGUAAAAAAAAUGUUAAAGUGGACCGCCUGGGAAGUACGGUCGCAAGGCUAAAACUCAAAGGAAUUGACGGGGCUCACACAAGCGGUGGAGCAUGUGGUUCAAUUCGAAAGCAACGCGCAGAACCUUACCUGGGUUUGACAUCCUUGGAUUAUCUCCAUGAAAAGUGGAGUAGGCCCUUCGGGUACGAACUUGGACAGGUGCUGCAUGGCUGUCGUCAGCUCGUGUCGUGAGAUGUCGGGUUAAGUCCCAUAACGAGCGAAACCUUUGCCCUUAGUUACUAACGGGUUAUGCCGAGGACUCUAAGGGACGUGCCGGUGUCAAACCGGAGGAAGGUGGAGAUGACGUCAAGUCCUCAUGGCC